AAUUCUCAACCCUUCCCCCUUUUACGAGGCGGGCUUGUGGAUUUGACUUGGAGGUCUUUUGCCGGCUUUUUACUAAGUCGGCUCCUCUUAAAUGUAUUAGUAGGACCUUCAGUUGAAGAAGCCUCGGUGUGAUAAUUAUCUACGCCGGCUCGCGUGCUAUAUUCACUGUAUGUUGAACCUGCUUCUAACCGUCUCGCAAGGGACAAAUUAAAUUAUCGAA
rnacentral:misc_RNA from 1 species